CGCGUUGUUAUCGUGGUCACGUCAGAUAGCAUUGUCCUACAAAACGCUAAAGCUUAUUAAACAACUUUACACAGGACAAAUGGUAUCGUGUUUAUCCGUUGAAUCAAAACAGAAGACGGUUAUUUGUUAAGGCUUAACGAAAAAAAAAAAGGUCGCGCGAAGAUUGUGUACGAUUAUAGCUAGUAGCUAACGUUAGCUAGGUUACGAAGCCAAAUAUCUGCAUAAAGUUACUGCAUGAAGUUACUUAACAGGGACAACAUGUCUAGCCUUAACAGUCGCAAUAUUUUCGAGAAAGAAACAACGUCGAUUAUGACUUUUAUCGUUGAGACGGCAGUAGCAGAAAUUAGCCAACUGUUUUUGGACAACGAAUCAAUCGCGGCGCCAAUACCAAGUAACCUGGGAAAAAAGAAACAGGUUGGCACCAUUAUGCACCUUUUGACAAAGGAGGCUGUUCGUAAAAUCUGUAGACUAUUCCUAGAAGUCUCUGCGGCUUUACAAAAUGAAAAUGAGAAGCUGAAGAUCAAGGUGGAGCAGAUGGAUAAAGAUCUGAAGGCGAUGGUUGAGAAGGGUGAGGGGCGAGAAGAACCGAAAAGACCAACCCAUAUUCUGCACAAUGGAACGAUCUUUAAAAUUAAGCCAGUUGAUCUCCCAAUGAUGCCUGUUAACAAUGUGAAGACAAACACAGUGGCCUCAGCAUUGCUCAGCAUGGGAGAUGUCAGUCAAGUAAACACUGUCAUCGUACAGGAAGAGACUACUGCGAGAAAUACAGGCUCUAGCACCGACCCUGUGAAGGAGAGGAGUGAGGUGAAAUCAGGAACUAAAACGUCAGUCAUUGAAGGUAAUAUCCCAAAGAAACAAAACUGGAUGUUUCAAGUACACAACUAUGCUUAAACCACAACAAUAGACCACUUUUCAAAUCAAAUCAAAUUUUAUUUGUCACAUACACAUGGUUAGCAGAUAUUAAUGCGAGUGUAGCGAAAUGCUUGUGCUUCUAGUUCCGACAAUGCAGUAAUAACCAACAAGUAAUCUAACUAACAAUUCCAAAACUACUGUCUUAUACACAGUGUAAGGGGAUAAAGAAUAUGUACAUAAGGAUAUAUGAAUGAGUGAUGGUACAGAGCGGCAUAGGCAAGAUACAGUAGAUGAUAUCGAGUACAGUAUAUAC
ensembl:lncRNA